GAGUUUGAUUCUGGCUCAGGAUGAACGCUAGCGGCAGGCCUCAUACAUGCAAGUCGAGGGGCAGCAGGACGCUUCGGUGUUGCUGGCGACCGGCGCACGGGUGCGUAACACGUAUGCAAUCUGCCUUGUACUGGAGCAUAGCCCUCGGAAACGAAGAUUAAUACUCCAUACAGUCUUACUAGCGCCUGCUAGUAAGAUGAAAGCUCCGGCGGUACAAGAUGAGCAUGCAUCCCAUUAGCUUGUUGGUGAGAUAACAGCUCACCAAGGCUACGAUGGGUAGGGGUUCUGAGAGGAAGAUCCCCCACACUGGCACUGAGAUACGGGCCAGACUCCUACGGGAGGCAGCAGUAGGGAAUAUUGGUCAAUGGGCGCAAGCCUGAACCAGCCAUGCCGCGUGCAGGAUGAAGGCCCUCAGGGUUGUAAACUGCUUUUGUAUGGGAAUAAAAAAGUCCUUGCGAGGACUCUUGAAGGUACCAUAGGAAUAAGCACCGGCUAACUCCGAGCCAGCAGCCGCGGUAAUACGGAGGGUGCAAGCGUUAUCCGGAUUUACUGGGUUUAAAGAGUGCGUAGGCGGCUUCUUAAGUCAAUGGUGAAAGCUUAGCGCUUAACGCUAGAAGUGCCACUGAUACUGGGAAGCUUGAGUCAAGAAGAGGUAAGCAGAAUUCAUAGUGUAGCAGUGAAAUGCUUAGAUACUAUGAGGAAUACCAACAGCGAAGGCAGCUUACUGGUCUUGUACUGACGUUGAGGCACGAAAGCGUGGGUAGCGAACAGGAUUAGAUACCCUGGUAGUCCACGCCGUAAACGAUGAUCACUCGAUGUACACGCUAGUCGUGUGUGUCUAAGCAAAAGCAUUAAGUGAUCCACCUGGGGAGUACGCUCGCAAGAGUGAAACUCAAAGGAAUUGACGGGAGUCCGCACAAGCGGUGGAGCAUGUGGUUUAAUUCGAUAAUACGCGAGGAACCUUACCUGGGCUCGAAUGUCUC
rnacentral:rRNA from 1 species